rnacentral:rRNA from 1 species
GACGAACGCUGGCGGCGCGCCUAACACAUGCAAGUCGAACGAGAAGGCGUAGCAAUACGCUUGUAAAGUGGCGAACGGGUGAGGAAUACGUGGGUAACCUACCCUCGAGUGGGGAAUAACCAACCGAAAGGUUGGCUAAUGCCGCGUACGCUUCCAUCUCUUCGGAGGUGGAAGGAAAGCUGUACCGUGGGUACAGCGCUCAAGGAUGGGCUCACGUCCUAUCAGCUUGUUGGUAGGGUAACGGCCACCAAGGCAACGACGGGUAGCUGGUCUGAGAGGACGAUCAGCCACACUGGCACUGCGACACGGGCCAGACUCCUACGGGAGGCAGCAGUGAGGAAUAUUGCGCAAUGGGCGAAAGCCUGACGCAGCGACGCCGCGU